GACGCAGUGGCCUAAUGAAUGGUCUGCGCGUUGGACUCCGGAUCGAGCGGUCUGGGUUCGAGCCCAGACCUGGGUCA